CAUCAACUUGUAUUUCAAUUUAUAAUAUAAAACAUUUUUUGCGUAUUAUCUUUGGUAUGGUUUUAUGCCCUUUUUUAAAUUUUAUAAAGGCGGCAAUUGAACUAUUUUAUUAAUUCUUUUGUUACAUUUGGCUAUUAUAAGAUCAAAUGUACUAGUUGAAAUGAUCUCAUCUAUUUGAAAAGUUGAAUUUGUGUUGAGUUAUGUUAAAUACAAACAGAUUAUUUGAAGUUGUGUUAUGCAGAACAAAGUAGUGUUAGUCAAACUAUAGAGUAAGUUGGCGAAUUUCGGGCGGCAUCAAAUUUCGUACAAACAGCCUUUCGCACCAAAAAAAUCACAACCCAGACUCAGCGUUUAUUUUUAAAUAAAUUAAUUAUUUUUAAUUUUACUGGUUUAUAAAAAUUUCUAUGUA